rnacentral:rRNA from 1 species
CCUACGGGAGGCAGCAGUGGGGAAUCUUGCGCAAUGCGCGAAAGCGUGACGCAGCAACGCCGCGUGAGGGAAGACGGCCUUCGGGUUGUAAACCUCUUUCAGUUGGGACGAAGCCACGGCGGUUAAUACCCGUCUGUGGUGACGGUACCUUCAGAAGAAGCCCCGGCUAACUACGUGCCAGCAGCCGCGGUAAUACGUAGGGGGCAAGCGUUGUCCGGAAUCAUUGGGCGUAAAGCGCGUGUAGGCGGCUUGGUAAGUCCGCUCUGAAAGCCCGGGGCUCAACCCCGGGAGGCGGGUGGAUACUGUCAAGCUCGAGUCCGGAAGAGGCGAGUGGAAUUCCUGGUGUAGCGGUGAAAUGCGCAGAUAUCAGGAGGAACACCAAUGGCGAAGGCAGCUCGCUGGGACGUGACUGACGCUGAGACGCGAAAGCGUGGGGAGCAAACAGGAUUAGAUACCCUGGUAGUCCACGCCGUAAACGAUGGGCACUAGGUGUGGGGGUGUCGAUCCCCCGUGCCGAAGCUAACGCAUUAAGUGCCCCGCCUGGGGGNGGUACGGCCGCGACGACGUAAACUACAACGAAGUAGACGGCGUGAGACGUGCCGACGGACGACGACCGACGGGAGGUAGG